UGCGAGUCAUUGUAGUAAUACAAGGCAGACGGCUCAGUAACGCGUAGUCCACCUAACCUAUGGACGGGAAUAACCUCGGGAAACUGAGUAUAAUGCCCGAUAGAACAUUAUACCUGGAAUGGUUUAUGUUCCAAAUGAUUUAUCGCCGUAGGAUGGGACUGCGGCCUAUCAGUUUGUUGGUGAGGUAAUGGCCCACCAAGACUAUUACAGGUACGGGCUCUGAGAGGAGUAGCCCGGAGAUGGGUACUGAGACACGGACCCAGGCCCUAUGGGGCGCAGCAGGCGAGAAAACUUUGCAAUGUGCGAAAGCACGACAAGGUUAAUCCGAGUGGUUUCUGCUAAAGGAACCUUUUGUCGGUCCUAGAAACACCGAUGAAUAAGGGGUGGGCAAGUUCUGGUGUCAGCCGCCGCGGUAAAACCAGCACCUCAAGUGGUCAGGAUGAUUAUUGGGCCUAAAGCAUCCGUAGCCGGCUCUGUAAGUUUUCGGUUAAAUCUGUACGCUUAACGUACAGGCUGCCGGGAAUACUGCGGAGCUAGGGAGUGGGAGAGGUAGACGGUACUCGGUAGGAAGGGGUAAAAUCCUUUGAUCUAUUGAUGACCACCUGUGGCGAAGGCGGUCUACCAGAACACGUCCGACGGUGAGGGGUGAAAGCUGGGGGAGCAAACCGGAUUAGAUACCCGGGUAGUCCCAGCUGUAAACUAUGCAAACUCAGUGAUGCAUUGGCUUGUGGCCAAUGCAGUGCUGCAGGGAAGCCGUUAAGUUUACCGCCUGGGAAGUACGUACGCAAGUAUGAAACUCAAAGGAAUUGACGG
rnacentral:rRNA from 1 species